rnacentral:tRNA from 1 species
ACCCCUGUAGCUCAGCGGAGAGAGCAACGGUUUCCGAGGCCGUGUGUCGCCGGUUCGAAUCCGGCUGGGGGUA